rnacentral:sRNA from 1 species
UACUUGUUGAUGAAGGAGAGCAGUAGGCGGAGACGCCUUCAUAGAGAGCCGGUAAAGGUGAAAGCCGGCAGGCUGAACUGCUGAACUCACUCUGGAGACGCAGCGGUGAAAGACAGUAAUCGCUGCCGCAAAGCCGGCGUUAACGGUUUAGAGCGGGCAGCAGCAUAACGGGGGGCUGUGGCGCAGUGGGAGCGCGCUUCCUUGGCAUGGAAGAGGUCGCGGGUUCAACUCCCGCCAGCUCCACCAUCUGUUUGGCCAAUAAGGGUGGUACCGCGGGUAUAAACAAAUCCGUCCCUUGA